rnacentral:lncRNA from 12 species
AUGCCAUUUGCGCGCAGCUCAGGCGGAUAUUUUUACCCCAAUGUUCCCGGGCUGUUCGGCGGCCGCUUCCCUCCUCCCCGGGCCUGGGGGCCUGUGUGGACUGUAAAUGGGGGGGUCGGGGGGACUGUUGCUUUGUUCAUCACCAGCUGCAGGAAACACACGCUGGGGUCCCCCAGAGUAAGUCCCUGCCAUCCCAGGCCUGUCUCUCCUGGGGGAGGCUCUUCGGGUGACCUAGUGAUCCAGGAGGGGGGCUUUGUCUCAGCGAGACCCCUUGCCCGUAACCCCCUUGCACCCGGGCCCAGGGCACGUAGUGUAGCCAGAGAACUGCGCACCGCCCCCCGCGCCCCCCGGAUCUCCCCAGCGCCCCCCUGGGCUCCUGCCUGCAUAACGAGGCCCCUUAGGCCUGGCUUCUCUAGGCAGGGCACACGUUCAGCCCUGUUGAGGGGGGGCCGGGAACCUCUGAGAAGGGCCCCCCCCACCAGGGUGGUGUCCUGUCCCCCGUGGAGGGGCCCAUGCAGGGGAGCCCCGGGGGAAGGGGUGCAGGGGGGGCAAGGGGAGCUCUUCCCUCCGUACACCAUGCAAUACAACAGGUGGUGGGAGACACCUGGGAGACAUCUGGGAGGCAAGGGGACCGCAGCCAGGCUUCCAGGCCCCCCCUCCGCCCCCGCUGGACACCCAGCACACCUGCUCUUCGUGUCCCGGGGGUCCCUCUUUACAGGGGAGCUGUCUUGUUUCAUUGGCUUAUUUUUUCAUUUUGCCUCUGAGAGCUUAGAGGGAGGGGAUGGUUUGACCAUCUCCCUGGGCCCAGCGUGUCGUGCAGGUGCAGGUGCAGGUGCGCUAGUGGCCUACCUUGGAUGGGGGGUGGAUGCCACGUGGCCUCCAGUCCACGCCCUCUUGCCCUCCGGUGCCCCAGCCUUUCUUAGAGCUGCCUGUCAUUUCCCCCAGGAGGGACUUUGGGUUUCCUGGCUGAAUUAUUCUUUAUACACUUGCAGUCACUUGCCCCUUUCGGUGACACCUCUGCACCCUGCCCACACUUGGCUAUGGAAGCAUUUUUUUUCUUGGUGUUUUAUUUCCUCCUCUUGCCUCCUCCACCCCCACCCCAGUGAGAACAUCUCCGUGCAUGUCUCUCAGCCUUACAUUUUUCCACCAGCAAACACACUUCCAAGGGCCUUAGUGACUUGUGAAAAUUCCUUCCAAACUUGUCUCCUGGAAACAGGAUGGCAGAUGAAAGAUUUCUUCAUUAAAAUGAGACACUUUAAGAGGCAUUCCGUAAAAGCUCCAAGCAUCCCCAACGGGCCCCUGUCUGGUGAGGGGGCCAGAAGGAGGCCCAGGCUUUGGGAAAGGCUAAGACCAAGCACGCCGAGGUCCUGUCCCCUUCUUUCUGACACAGAAUUCCUCCCCUCCCCGGGGCAGGGAAGGUUUGAACCUGAUAGGCUGUGGCCUUCCUACUCAUUGCUCACACUGACUGCUGCCUGGAACAGCUAG